ACCCGACGGAAAGUGCCACAGAAACAAACCGCUGCAAGGCAGUAAGGGUGAAAAGGUGAGGUAAGAGCUCACCGCGCAAUUGGUAACAAUUGUGGUCCAGGCAAACCCCAUCUGGAGCAAGGCCUAAUAGAGGUUUAUAGGGUUCCGAGCCUAACCUGGGUUGGCCGCUUGAUCUUACUGGUAACAGUAAGGCUAGAUAGAUGGUCGUCAGUCAUCCACAUGGGUGAUUACAGAACUCGGCUUAUAGUUCCCCUCAACCG
rnacentral:RNase_P_RNA from 1 species